rnacentral:miRNA from 1 species
AUUCCUGGAUCCUACCCUCAGACUUCUGAGUCAGAAACUUCAAGGAUGAAUUCCAGGAAUCUGCAUUUUU